rnacentral:rRNA from 1 species
GCUCAACCGGGGAGGGUCAUUGGAAACUGGGGAACUUGAGUGCAGAAGAGGAGAGUGGAAUUCCACGUGUAGCGGUGAAAUGCGUAGAGAUGUGGAGGAACACCAGUGGCGAAGGCGACUCUCUGGUCUGUAACUGACGCUGAGGCGCGAAAGCGUGGGGAGCGAACAGGAUUAGAUACCCUGGUAGUCCACGCCGUAAACGAUGAGUGCUAAGUGUUAGAGGGUUUCCGCCCUUUAGUGCUGCAGCAAACGCAUUAAGCACUCCGCCUGGGGAGUACGGUCGCAAGACUGAAACUCAAAGGAAUUGACGGGGGCCCGCACAAGCGGUGGAGCAUGUGGUUUAAUUCGAAGCAACGCGAAGAACCUUACCAGGUCUUGACAUCCUCUGGCAACCCUAGAGAUAGGGCUUCCCCUUCGGGGGCAGAGUGACAGGUGGUGCAUGGUUGUCGUCAGCUCGUGUCGUGAGAUGUUGGGUUAAGUCCCGCAACGAGCGCAACCCUUGAUCUUAGUUGCCAGCAUUCAGUUGGGCACUCUAAGGUGACUGCCGGUGACAAACCGGAGGAAGGUGGGGAUGACGUCAAAUCAUCAUGCCCCUUAUGACCUGGGCUACACACGUGCUACAAUGGGCAGAACAAAG